UCCACUUUUUUAGCAUUUCCUUCUGUGUUUCAGACUUUUGACAGAGGCAUAUUUUAUCGGUAUGAAAAUAAAAGAGUAUGUUUCAGCCUGUAAGGGUCACGAAUAGAUGGCAAAAGUCUCUUACAAAGACCUUUAAGUUAGUAUUUCAGUGAUCUAAAGAAUUACUUGGAUCACCAUCCAUCUAUUCUCAUAAGUAAAUAGUGUUUAGAGGGAAACAACUUUAUUCAAACAUCACUGAGAAGAAGUUUUCAAACAUCAUGGCUCUGAAGAAAAAAAAUCUUAGGGGGGAUUUUUUCAGACCUGCCAAGUAAAUCAGGAUUUAAAAUCACCGAAUCAUAGAAUCAUAGACUGGUUUGGGUUGGAAAGGACAUCUAGGUCAUCUAGUUCCAACCCCACUGCCAUAGGCAGGGAUGCCUCACACUAGACCUUGUCAUCCAGAGCUCUGUCCAGCCUAGCCUUGAACACCACCAAGGGUGGAGCAUUCACUGCUUCCCCGGGCAAACCAUUCCAGUGCCUCACCACCCUUGCAGUAAAGAACUUCCUCCUUAUAUCUAAUCUAAAAUUCCCCUGUUUAAAUUUUAGCCCAUUACCGCUUGUCCUAUCCACAUAUCCCACUUUAGUCUCAGAUAUACCACAGCUGAAGGGGAUCUUCGGAUAACCAUAUGGUGUUAGCUGCCUUUAAAGCAUUUUGGUUGUUUUUUUUUGUUUUGGUACAGAAGUUAUUUUAAAUCACACUUUUGUAACUAUGGAAAACCCAUUAGAAGAAAACAUCUGCCUGGAGGAAAUAGAGUUGUACAAUCUUUACUCUCUCCAGAUGUUUAAGAACGUUUAUGAGAUGUUUAUGAGAGGCUCAGAAAGAAAAAGAGAUAGAUGGUGACAAUGCCUGAGUGUAUCAGUAGACCUACAUGCUCCAAAAAUAAUUUUGUCACAGACUCUACAUCAGGGUAAAGAGAGGACUUUAUCAGAAAGGCUUUUGUCCCUUGAAAGCAUUAUAUGCUAAAUCUAAAGCCUCUGUGUGCUAGAUCCACUUCUCUACAACAGACUAGAAUUUCAGAACUGGGUUUGACCUCUUUAGAGUGUUAUCUACCUCCUUCAUUUUCAUGUCCCUCUCUUCCUGCCUGCAGGAGUGAUUGCCCCAAAAUGAUCAACUGUGAAUAAUCUCCGAAGCAGCUGAGGAAAUAUUACCAUAUUUAUCAAGUAGCAGUUCUGUGGCCUUCCAGGGUUGAGUACUAGGCAGUAGUCACAGGUCUUUCCUGUCUUUUCCCAGCUGCGCUCAGAGGCAAACUUUGACUCUUCAUUCAUUCCUGAGAAGGAUAUGCCUCUUGUAGAAAAGGAGUGUUGGGGAAGAGCUUGCAAAAUUGCAUGCCCUACACCCUGCAUAUGCUAUGAAGCUGAGCUCUGCAGAGCAUGGACAUACUGUGGUACACCUCCAUAACAGGAACUGGCAGAGCCACAAAGACAUUGCCACUGUAUAAAUCAUGUGCUUGUCCUACUGUGACAAGGGCUAUGCUAAGGCUUGCAGAGCACUACUUCAGCCACUAGAUCAAACAAUGCCUUUCUGUCCAUCACAUCAAGAAUUUAGUCUGUGUUGACAAUGCAAAGACCACAAGCUGCAUUAAAGAUACUUACAGGAAGAUUUAUGAGUGGUCUUUUUCAUCUUCCAUUCAUUCUGUGGCUUUGUUUUCAUGCCAGGUUUUCUGUCAUAAAAAGGUAACAUUAAGAAAAAUGUAUAUUUAUUUAUUGCAAUCAAUCUCUGUUCUAUUGGCUACACUAC